rnacentral:misc_RNA from 1 species
UCAUUGUCUUCAGGGCGUUGCUGCAAGCAAAAUGAGUUUGAGCAUGAUAUCAGGGGCAUGAUAUUAGGGGGGCAAGAGACAGAGACAGACACAGAUGACUGCAGAUGCCUAUGUUGUAUGCUAAAAAAAAAGGCACAUAUUGCAUGGUCACAUUUAAGGACAAUGGUAAUUGCAACAUGAGUAACAUCAGUCUUGUCAAAUGCGCUGGGCGCCCUUGAGGCGAGAAGGUCCUCCAUCACCCAAGGCGCUUGCCCAAGCGAAGUGUGGCGCUAAUUUAUUCUAAAAUAAU